rnacentral:misc_RNA from 1 species
UCUCCGUAGGUGAACCUGCGGAGGGAUCAUUACCGAGUGAGGGCCCCCGGCCCGACCUCCAACCCUUUGUGUUUCUGACUGUGUUGCCUCGGGGGCGACCCGGCGCGUUUAUCGCGUCGGGGCCCCCGGCGGACCACUCAACUCUGCAUCUUUGCGUCUGAGUCUUAUAUAUGAAUUAAAUCAAAACUUUCAACAACGGAUCUCUUGGUUCUGGCAUCGAUGAAGAACGCAGC